CUAAACGACUCUCGGCAACGGAUAUCUCGGCUCUCGCAUCGAUGAAGAACGUAGCGAAAUGCGAUACUUGGUGUGAAUUGCAGAAUCCCGUGAACCAUCGAUUCUUUGAACGCAAGUUGCGCCCAAAGCCGUUCGGCUUAGGGCACGUCUGCCUGGGCGUCACGCA
rnacentral:rRNA from 1 species